UACGUAGGAUGCAAGCGUUAUCCGGAAUGAUUGGGCGUAAAGCGUCCGCAGGUGGCUGUGUAAGUCUGCUGUUAAAGAGUGAGGCUCAACCUCAUAAAAGCAGUGGAAACUACACAGCUAGAGUGCGUUCGGGGCAGAGGGAAUUCCUGGUGUAGCGGUGAAAUGCGUAGAGAUCAGGAAGAACACCGGUGGCGAAGGCGCUCUGCUAGGCCGCAACUGACACUGAGGGACGAAAGCUAGGGGAGCGAAUGGG
rnacentral:rRNA from 1 species